rnacentral:rRNA from 1 species
CAGGCCCAUUCCCCGCGUGAGUGAAAGAAAGGCCCUUCCGGGUUGCUAAAGCUCCUUUUCGCAACGCGCACGAAAAGAUUACUCUCUAAUAUAAGAAGUGAUUAUGGACGGUACCCUUGAUUAAGAAGCCACCGGCCUAACUUACGUGCCCAGCAGCCCGCGGGUUAAUACGUAGGGGUGCGAGCGUUUAAUCGGGAAUUACUGGGGCGUAAAGGCGGUGCGCAGGGCGGGUUUUGUAAAGUCAGAUGUGAAAAUCCCCCGAGCUCAACCUUGCGAACCCCCGUUUGAAACUACAAGACUAGAAUAGGUCAGAGGGGGGUAGAAUUCCACGUGUAGCAGUGAAAUGCGUAGAGAUGUGGAGGAAUAUCAAUGGCGAAGGCAGCCCCCUGGGAUCAUAUUGACGUCAUGCACGAAA